rnacentral:rRNA from 1 species
UUCUUUAUUUAUUAUUAUUAUCAAAAUUAUAAUUAUACCUGAAAUCAUAUUGAACUCAAUGUUGUUAAAUUAUUUUUUAUUAUAAUUACUAUUAAUUAAUGGGAAAUAUAAUAUAAUAUUAUUUAAAGUA